AGCUGCUGGUUGAGCUCCACCCCAUUACGGAACGAGGAAAAAGCUGUAUAUCUUCCGAUUGUAAGAAGGCGACAAGUAAUUUCUCUCUAAUUCACGAUUUCAUUGUUAUCCUCUAGCCUAUAUAUACACAUGCAGAAAAGAGAGAAGCUAUACACAUUUAUCUUCUUUAAGUGAAUUUCUUUUAAAGAAAAUGGUUGGCUGUAGUUGCAGGGAGUUGCUUAUUGUUUCUAUGAUCUUGCUUUUACUUAUGUUUCCUCCAUUGGAAACAGUUAUGGCUGAUGAUCAAACCAAAGUUGUCAAUCCCAGAGAGAAGAAGAGUGAAAGGCAUGAAAAUUUAAAGGAAAAUAAAAUAAAUACUGGUAAGCAUGAUUCACCACCAGCUGGUCAUUACAGUAGGGGUGAUAGUCAUUUGUCUCGGCAAGGUAGAAAGCUGUGGAAUUGAAUGCUAUUUAUACACACCGACCAUCAACAAGUUAAGCUCUUCAAUGUAGUGUAUAUGUAUAUUUAUAAAGACAGCAAGGCUUAAUUAUUAGUCAGUUUUUAUUUAUGUGAUAAUGAAGUUGUAUUUAGAAUAAUGAAAAAAUAAAUAAAAUAAAAAUAAGAAUGACCUUGCUUAUAUA